GGUUUCCCAGAGAAGUUGUGGUUUCCCCAUCAAGGGAAGUACUUAAGGUCAGUUUAGAUAGGGCCUUGAGCAGCCUGAUCUAGUGAAAGCUGUCCCUGCCCCUGGUAGGGGGUUGGACUACAUGGUCUUUACAGGUGCCUUACACAUCAGACCAUUCUGCCAGGGACUACUGAAUUAACAGAUAAAUACCAUACAUGGUAGUGUACCUGUAGACAACUGCAACUUCUAUUAAUAUCUUGACAUUUUACUAAUCCUGCCAUUUUUGGGUCAUCAUUUUAAAAUAUUUUCAAGUUACCUGCAAAACUAGUAUAUAAUUUGGGUUUUCUAAAUGAAAACCUGCAUUCUAUUCCCAGAAAAUGAGGAUUUUAUGCUAGAAGUUUUCUGCUAUGACUGUGUUCUCAAAUCUCUUACUAUAUCAGUGCAGGUUUUUCUUGCAUCAGCAAUCUUUUGAGUUCCCCUUAUUUCUGCAGUGGAGAUUUUUUAAAAAUACUGUAUUUAAAAAUACAAUUGCUUUGAAGCAAACACCCUGCUAGGCACUUCACAGAUACCAGCUACAGACUUUCUUCUUAGCAGGGAGAGAUUCUUCUUCAGAUCAGGGAUUUAGCUUGAGGAACUUUAAACAGAUCUAUUAGCACACUUGGCACUGUUAGUAUUAUUAAAACAGAAAUAUCAACAGUGGAUUAAAUUUACACAGCAAUGUGUCUGGUCAUGGACAAACACAAACUGUGAACCAGUUUGGGGAAAACUCAUUGAGUAUUCUGAAAGCUACCUCAUAUGCCAAAUAUAUCUUUAUUAAGUUUUACUGCAUGCAAUUAGGUUGCAUGCAUACAUCAUUUGGUAUUUAGCUAGAUUGCAGGGUUAAAAUAAAAAAACCCAAAUGUUUAAAUAUCUGUAGAAAUAUACAGAAAAGAGAUCUGGACAAACACAUUCAGAUAAUUUGUUUACAGUAUAUUUUUUCCAAAUUCUCAUUCCUGAAGCACAACUCAAUUCCUUCGCACAUAGCUGAGAUAAUAGCAAAGAUGCAAUUUUGCUGUUCAGCAAAUAAGUAACAAAUGUCCUACUUCUUGAAAAGAACAAAUAAUGACACUUUUGUUACCUGACAUUGCAGAGCAGGACAGCUGUAACACAUUACACACUUGCAACAACUACACACGUCAGAAAGAGGGGGCAAAAAAAUAACAUAGUUUGACAACUCUGCCACUUACAUGAGAAUUGAAUUUUGACCCCAUUUCAUUCCAUAAUCAUAUUCUCAAUUCUUGAGUAAUUUUUGCCUUCCAACUACACGAGCCCUGGCCCCUCAUUACUUCUCCCGAGUACCAUUCUCAGCUGUGUCUGAGCAGGGGGGGACCAAAGCCAAGGAUUCACAUUGAUAUAAUUAUGCAAGAGGCACAAGAGGGUCAAAGGACUGUAGGAACAAUAAAAAAACCCAGGAUGAAAUUAUUUGUAAGCUGAAUAUCCCAUUGCAAAAAGAAACUAUGACCAUUUUAUAUAUUCAUUUGCAUCAGAAACAUUUUUUAAGAUAAAAACACAUAUUUGUUUGACAGCUAUUUGGUUUGCAGAAUUAUUUCAAUUUUUUCCUUGUGUUGCUGAGGAUUUGUAGUCACAUAAACAUGUGCAAUGUACGUACAAAAACCACCUCUUAGGAAAUAGUGCUGUAGAAUAUAUAAGUUUACAAGCGAAGCCUAAGAAGUUAAAACUUCUCUAAGUUAAAAGUAUCUGACACUUGCAUGAAAUGGCUUGGCUGCUCUCACUGCUGCAUUGAAUGAGCACCAUAAAAAUCUUCAUUAAUAGAUGGAAAAGUUCCAGUACCUAGGUAAAAUGAGUCCAGAACCCGAGAAUUCAGAAAUCCUUUUGACAUAUGGCCCCUUUAGACCCUUUUAGUACAGCUAAAGCAUAACAAACCUGAAUAGGAAUCAGAGUGAACAACUUUCAAAUAAGUUUUUUUCUUAAAAAUACUGAAAACUCGCAUUUGUAUCUGUCAGGAAGAGCUGAAAAUGAUGAGCAAUUAAAAAAAAAGGAAUGUGUCUCCAGCUUGGACUGUAAGCAGAGAAAGACACAGAAUUGAAAUGUUCAGGAAUAGAACUUUAUAUAUUUAAAAUGCAAAUUACCACAAUUCUAGGCUCAAUAACAGAAUAAAAGUCUGCCUUUACCCCAGCAGAAAGUCCAAAAAAUGGGACACUUUGCCUGUUUUCAUCUCCUCUUACCAAACUGCAAGGUCCUCUGCUCUGGUUCUUACACAGCCUGCUCCAAAACCUUUUACCUCUGACAAGUGGCCUGCCGACAUCUCAUCUCUGCAGUUAAAUUAUUUAUUGCCUUACAGUUAUUUACAGUCUGUUCCUAGGGCACAAAUUAUGGUACUUGCAGCUGCAAAACUCCAUGAACAGCUGGAAUCCACAGGUGAUUUCACAUUAAAUACUGUUUACUCUCUACUCUCACAACCAACCCAAAUGUGUACAUGAAGAUGUGUUUUGCAGUGCUUAAAAAAGUGAAGCAUGAAUUGUGGGAAGGAGCACAAGGCCCCAGCUGGCAUUCCCACGAAGAUGGAGAACUGUGAAAUAAAGGUGUCAAAAGAACGAGCCAUAGCUGUGUUCCUGCUGCCUCUAUCAGAUCUGCCUCUUUUAGAUCCAUACUUUCCUUUAAACUAUCAGAUCUGGGCUUGAGAGGAUCAAGAUUAGCAGAACACAGGAUGGAGAGCUGGUGUAUAAGUUCAAAAUCCUGUAUAACACAGGGAUUCUGAUUCAAGAGUCCAUUGAGUGCAAGGCAGGCACAAGAGAGUGAAAUUCUUUUAAAGACCGCAGUAGGGUGGCUGGUGAUUGGCAGCUCUUGAAGAUACCAGAGAGAUUCUUGAUGGCAGAUGGAGACUUUUGUCUGAAGGCUUUGGAUCAGAAUUUCUUGGACAGUGUUCUCUGAAAUAUUUCUAAUUCUAAGCACAGGGAUAUACAGACAGGCAGGCAAGCAAGCAGAAAGAAUCCCCUCACAUAAAGAGAAAUAGUUUAAAUUUAACAAGAAACAAGUGAAAGCUCUUCAAGAAAUAUGGAAUCGGAAGAAAAAUAUGUUCCGUUGUCUGGAACUUAAUUUUUUAAAGAAGCUUUAAAACUAAGCAUCAAUAAAGAUAAAAAUAAACAAACAAAAAAGAAGAAAAAGGAGUUUGAGGUAAUUCAUUCCUUGCAAGGAUUGUAAUAAAGAAAAGGCUGUAAAAACAAUAAAAAAAAUUGAGGCAAGCAGGGAAAUAAAUGUUAAAAGUAUAAAAUUCAGUCAAAUGGGGAAAUAAAAAUAAGCAGCUGGAUUUAGACUAUCAGUACUGGUAGGUUUACAUUAAAUUACUUUUCAUAUAAUGCUACUGUGUAAUUAUAGUUUUACAAAAUCCUGGAUGAUGAAAAUGCUCAGUUUUGAAUAACACAUAUUUAUGAUGAAUAAUAUACUUUUAUAAGACAAAUAUAUAUUUAAUAUGCCAGUUGGAAACUUGAUAGAAAGAAAAGAAUCAUUAUGCUGUCUGUUAUUGUAGAACAAUAAUAUUGGAAUGAGAGAGUAUACUGCAUUUGUGAACAGGAGAGGGGUUAUGUCAGAAAAUAAUAGUCAAAUAAGCCUUUAUGUCCCAUUGUGUCAGUCGUCACAGAUUGGAAUUCCUGUUUGAAUUAGGAAAAAUGUAAUGGUAGAGUUAUUGAAGGACCAAAUUGUUAAAGGAGAAAUAUGCUCUGAAAAUGAUGAAAAAUAUUAUAAUAGUUGUGAAUUAAAAUAAGAAAAAAAAUUAUGUAAAUCUUCAGUGAAUCCUCCUUAAUCAAAGUGAACAUGGGAAAUUAUAAGCUGGACUCUAAAACUGCCACUGUGUAUUAGAGCAGUUAGAGAAUUCACAAGAGAACAAAUUACUUUUAUAUCAGUAGCAUCCUGGUUCAGGACAGAAGCCUGAAGUGGGGGCCAUGCAGCAGUGGAAUCUGAUAACUCUUGGAGGAUACUCCUUCUUUAAAGGUAGAAUCCAUACAUACAGGAUGAAGAAAGUUAGAACAAGAUAAGAUAAACUGCUGAAAGGAUAAAACACUUCCAAGCAAAAAUUAAUUAAAAAUGUCUUAAUAGAUACUUACAUUAAAAAUAUACCACUAACCAGAAGGUGGGAAACAAAAUGCAUGAGGAACACACACAUAAAGUCACACACACACAAAGAAACAAACAAAAAACAAACAAAACCACAAAUGAAACAAAAAACCCAACUAACCAAACAAAAAACCCCCAAAAAACAGAAAUCCAAAAACAAACCCUCAAGACAGGUAUCAUGGUUAAAUAGCAAAGAAAAUACAUAUUAAGAACAAAAAAUCAACUUUCCAAAAAUGGAGGCUUUGCAACAGAAAGGCGCAGAAGAGGAUAAAAUGUCAAGUGACAUAUAAAGCUGCAAUGAGGGAAGAUAGAUGAGAGUAAAAAAAAAAAAAGAAAUAGAAGAAAAAUAUUUUAGGGAGAAUCUUGCUAGAGGCUUCAAAACAAAUAAUGAAAAUUUUCAAAUACAUCAGAAGAAGGCAACCUGCUGGAGAAUUUACAAGGCUGAUUAAUGAUAUCAUUUUAAAAAAAGCAUUCAAGCAGGAUAAGAAAAACAGCUAAACCAUAUUAAUUUUAUGUACUGUUCAAUAAACACAGGCUAGAAAGUUUCCUAAACAAGAUUCACACAUAUUCCUCAAAGGAUGAGAUGAACAACUGUCCCGAAUGUAUAGAAUAGAAUAGAAUAGAAUAGAAUAGAAUAGAAUAGAAUAGAAUAGAAUAGAAUAGAAUAGAAUAGAAUAGAAUAGAAUAGAAUAGAAUAGAAUAGAAUAGAAUAUUUCAGUUUGGAGGGAUCUACAACAAUCAUCUUGUCCAGCAGCUUGUCCAGUUCAGGAUUAACCAAAAGUUCAGAUGUUUUAUUAAGGGCAUUGUCCACUUGACUCUUGAACACUGACAGGCUUGGGGCAUUGACCACCAUUGACCACUGAUCUAGGAAACCUGUUCCAGUCUUUGAUCACCCACUCUGUAAAUAAAUGCUUCCAAAUGUCAAGUCUGAAUUUCUCUGGAUGCAAUUUUGAACCAUCCCUGGAUACUAGGGAGCAGACAUAAGUAUCUCUUUUUCCACUUUUUUUUUUUUUUUUUUUUUUUUUAGAUUUUUUUUUUGAGAUUUUGGAAGAAAUGGGUGCAAGGAAGAGCAGCAGUUUUCCAGGACUGGUUGGUGGUUGGUUUGGUCCACCCAAAAAUUCUUAAGAGACAAGAAAAUGAAACUGAUUAAUCACCUUUUGUUACUAUAUGAAACAUUCCUUUUCUUACGAAAGAAAUGACGAUUUCUUUUCUUAUGAAAGAAAUGAGGUAACCAAUGCUAAUGAAACCAGCCUGGUUUACCAGAAGGGAUAUGGAAUUCUGCAUAGUCUUUUUGAAAGCAAUUUUUAUUUGGCAAACAAUAUAACAAGACAUGCCAAACAUUAUUAUCUAUCCUUUAGGGGGAAAAAAGAGGUAAAGAAUCUGAUUUAAUCUCUGCACUCCACAGUUUGAGUUUUCAGAAUUGUCACUUCUUAAAUUUAACACUGUUGUAAACAGAAUGCUGGAUUUGUCAUGGGAAGUAACAACGGCCAUGCAAGCUGAAAACACCUGUCUACCAAUAAUAUAAUUUAUAAGUUCAGUUGCACUUUUCUUCAUAAAAAAGAAAAGAGAGGUACAAAAAACCCCAUUUUUCUUUAUCAUCUUCUGUAAGUUAAAAAAAAAAAAAAAUUAAUGGUCUCAAAAGUUAUAAUUUUUCCCUUUUUUUAAACUCCAAAGUUACCAGAAGACCAAAUUUCAUGUAUUAGAUAAUGAAGAAUCGUUUGCUUUUCAGUAUAGUACUCCAAGGAAAGAGAUGUUGGGAAGAUGAAGUGAACAAAAUGAAGUCUGUGCUCUUGCAUUUUUUAAUGUAAAUUGGGGGGUUUAAAACUAAGUAUUUGUCCUAAUAUAAAAUACAAUGCUCUUGAGCUAUUAGCACUGAAGCAGCCAGAAUCAUGAAAGAGGAAAGGGAUUUACAUUCUGUUGUAGGUUUGGCUUGGAUAGAGUUUAUUUUCUGCCUGCUAGCUGGUACAGUGCUGUGUUUUGAAUUCAGACUGAGAAUAUUGUUGCUAACUGAUGUUGCUAACAGUGAUGUUUUAGUUGUUAAAGAAGAAUUUAAUCUAAAUCCAGGACUUUUCAGUUUCCCAGGUGCACAAGAAUCUGAGGGGGAAACAUGGCCAGGACAGCUGACCUCAGCUGACCAAGGGAGAUCCCAUACCAUGGAGCAUCAUGUCCAGUACAGAAACUGGGGGGAACUGGUCAGGAGCUGCCUGGGGACAGGCUGGGCACUGGCCAGUGCAUGCUUGGAGCAGCAUGUGGACAGGAACAGAGUGACAGGCAGCAGCAAGGGAUGGGGACGUGCCACCUUUGUCUGCAGGACAGUGGCCUCACCAAGCAAGACCAGUCCCACUGCAGCUCAGUGGGGUGAGUGGCACAGGCUGGGCAUGGCAGCCUGCUCAGCCCAGAGUCCAGGUGACCAGAGAAGUCCAUGGCAAUGAAGCAUGUCCACGAUUUGUCUGGGAAGUCAGCUCUCAGGACCAGGGUCAAGCUCAGCAAAUCCAAGGCACGUUUGAAGUGGCAAAGACCAGGACAGGUUCUGAACUUAAAUGCAGUUCCUAAGGAAAGGGUCAAUAGAGCUCUUUUUCAAACAAGCCAGCAAGUUUACACAGCUGCUCCAUAUCAGAGCUGACCUCUAACAUCACUGACCAAACUUCUGGAGAGGCAGUGUCUGCACUCAGGUCCCUGCCACAGACCUUGUUACACAGCUCACAGCCUUAACGUGACAGCGUGUCACCAUCUGUUAUGUCCACCACAGCCACACGCCACAUUACAAGCCCUGUCAAGGAGCUGUGCACACCAUGUGAGCACAGAACAGCCCUGCAGCUGGGCAGGGUGAAAAGCUGAUUCUUAAUUCUUUUUUUGUCCCCUGGCAGUAACCGUUUUCUCACUCCAGCUGUGUUCGGCUGGUGAAUCAUCCUCAGUGCUAAAGGUGUAAGAAGCACUCACACAAACAUAAGGAGCAGACAUUACAUAGCUGAAUUGUCAAAACUUCCGUGAAUGUCUCAGAUUUUCGUGAAGCAAGAAUCACAAGUCUCAUAUUUAAUGCAUGAAGGGAAAUAACUUAAAAUUCCUUCUAUGCAAAAACCUUAGAAUGAAAGUGUCACGUACUGAAAAAUCGUGCUCUACAGUGAGGACUUAUAUAAAAAAGUUCCUCUGUCCAUAAAACACGUGGAGUUGGUAGGACUGUGAGGUAGGACUAAGAGGAAAAUACAGCUCCUCUCUGUGUUGGCAAAGAGCCCUUGAAAAGCCAAAAUCUGUAUCUGCAGCACUUGGCAGUGGACAGCAGUAUCCUGACUGCACACUGUUCAGAGACUCACUGAAAGUGAACAGAUCUAGACUAAGUCAUUUUGAUACUUCUGAGAUAAAAAGAGAUAAUUAGAUCCAUGUUUUGAAAAAACAACAAACACAAGCCAUCACAUCAUUCUCGAUAGUUAUUAUUUGAUAUGUGUGACUGCCUUUUCUUGUUCUGUGUCAUCUGAAACAUUUAAGGGCAGUACUUGACAGAUUGCUUAUGUGCUGCUGAUACCAUGACACAAAUGGGGAUUACACCAAAAAAAAUGCCCAAAAUGCCUAACACAGU
ensembl:lncRNA